rnacentral:rRNA from 1 species
CCAAUAGCGUAUAUUAAAGUUGUUGCAGUUAAAAAGCUCGUAGUUGAAUUUCGGGAUUGACGUGAUGGUCGUGCCUUAAGGGGUAUGAACUGUCGCAGUUGAUUUCUCACCUUCUGGAGAAGCAUGAUGUCCUUAAUUGGGUGUCAUGUGGAACCAGGACCUUUACCUUGAAAAAAUUAGAGUGUUUAAAGCAGGCAUUUUGCUCGAAUACAUUAGCAUGGAAUAAUAGAAUAGGACGGCAUGGUUCUAUUUUGUUGGUUUCUAGGAUCACCGUAAUGAUU